rnacentral:lncRNA from 1 species
UGAACACUUGGCAGGUGUUCCUCUUUCUCUGUUGUGGAGUUUAGGCACAUAGUUUUCCAAGAAAAUCAUAGUUUGGGGUGGAAUAAGGCCUUUCUUUCCUUGGAGCUGCACAAGCACAACAGCUCAGAAGCCAAGAGAUUGCUAGUUGUGGUGCAAACAGAAGUGCUCAACUUCUUCUCUGGAUGCAGCCAAAACCAGAGUGACACUUACUUUGGAUAUUCUGCUGCAUUAUGGAAGUAGACAGAUAAGGAAGUUUAGACAAUAAGAUCCUUCAUCCUUAUGGUGAUUAUUGCUCCCCCUAUUCAUCACAAGGCCAAAGUGGUGCACAAGAUAGACCUCCUAAUCAAAUUAAUUACUCAGUAGAAUUGGAAUACAAAAUACCCACGCGCGCUUAAAUGAAGAGAACCAAAACAUAUCAUCAUACCAGAUGCUCUGAAGAAAAUAAUUACGUCCCAGCUGAAACUAAC